rnacentral:misc_RNA from 1 species
AAAAAAAUACCUUCUUUUAGUAAUGAAUAAAAUCUGAAAGAUCAAAGAAAAAUUCAACAAAGCCCUAAAGAGAUAUAUAUACACAAGACCACAAAAUUUUCCUUGUGCUCAAAACCAAUUCAUAUUAGAAAACAAUCUAGUUUAAUUUCUAGCAAAAACCCAUUUCAGGAUCUUGAUUUUUUUUUGGCAACAAAUUAUGCCAGUGCCUGGUUCAGUUGUGCAAGGGUUCCCACAGACCAGUAUGCUUUUUGGUCAUGGAGGGAGAAAAAGAAUCAUUGAAGGCUCUGAAGAAGAUCUAAGAAGAAAGGAGAGGAAAAAGAUUAGAAAUAGAGCAUCUGCUGCUAGAUCUCGAGAGAAGAAAAUGGAGAGGACAAAAUUUCUGGAAGAAAAAGUAGAAGAACUAAGAGAAGAGAAUGCCCAGAUGGAGCGAUUAGUCAAAUUAUUACUGGUAGUUCAUCACUUAAAUUUAUUUUUAGAGAAAAUGAGUGCUCUAAGUGUAUUAAAAAAUAGAGGCUAACCAACGAGUUUUAGCUCUGUGAUAACGGAAUUGUCUUACAGAUUGUGAAGUUUUGAGUUUAGCUUUAGUUGAAGUCAAAUAAAUUCAAGGGGCUAAAGUAGAUCUCUAGUUAACAUAAUUAAUUUAUUUUUCAGGAUAAAAAAGGUAAACAAAUUUUAUAUAUAUUGUUGAAUAUUUGCAGAUGGAGGAAGAGGAGGAGAAUGAUAAGCAGAUCAUCAAGGCUGAAGAAGAGACUGCAAAUAAGCGUAAGGGUUUGAGGAGGACCUUGACCUCACCAUGGUGAUCAUGUUCUUGAAAUGGGCUAAAAAUACAUAAUUCACCUUAUGAGAUGCUGUCUAGUUUUAAACUUUUCAUAAUUUGCUGAAUCAAAUAAAGUUCAGAUCUGGCGUAACUGGGCAGAAUGUAUUUGCUUUAAUCGUUCUCUUUCUUUCCUUCCUAAUAUUUUUAAACGUCUAAUUAUUUCAUAGAUCUAUUUCCUCCAUUGAAUUUGCACAAAAAUAACAUAUUUUAAAGCAAGAAUAAAUUUUCUUACAACUGCAUAUAUUUGAAGAAGAAAAGCAUUAAUGGUUUACCUUCAACUCUCAUAAAAACACAAAUAAUUUUAAUUAAUUUAAGGAUCACAUAUAUAUGCUUCCACUUCUAUUUAUUUGCAACCAUACAUAUGACCUCAGAAAUUCAAGAUUUCAUGCAUGAUUCAAAGACUGCAGACGAAAACGUGCGGAGUCUAGCUAUAAGCUCAUCUUGUUCCGUACACUAAAUCCCAAACAGGAAAUUAGAUGAAAUAUUAUAAUUAAUUAACUUCAAUAACACCUACUUUCUAUCCUCAAUCUUUGAGAGCUUCCAGCUCAACGUCCAUCAGCCAUUAAUGCUUCACGAGCCGAUGCAAUUCCAUUAGGAGCUAAAAGCUUAUCAAAAGAAGAAUAAUCAAUCCAUUCCAUAAGAAAAUUCUCUUGACUCCAAGUGUCUGGUAUCUUUACCUGUCCAGCCACCUCUUCUCGAUGCCUCUUUAAUCUUUCUCUUCCACUCUUCUUCUCCUUUUCAUGUUGUGUAGGACUAGUCGCUGAUGAAAAUGAUAAUGAUGAUGAUGAGCUAGGUUGAGAGAAGGUUUGAGCUUGCAAUUCUUCUUCAUAAUCAUCUGCAGGUUCACUCAAGUUUUGUAACCUGAUGGGUGAAUUCUCAGUGGAAGAACUAGAACCCACGUUUGUUUUUGCCGAGGAUGAAAGAAUAUUCCGGCAACUGGAUUUGUUGGGGGGUUCAUUAUUGUUGGAUGAGAUCAGAUGGGUGCCCUCCAUAUUUCUGUAAUGAGAAUUGAGGAUACAGGGAAAGGUAGGGAAAAGGGCUUUAGAAAGAAUUAUACAUCCAUAUUUCUGCAAUGAGAAUUGAGGACAUAGGGAAAGGUAGGGAAAAGGGCUUUAGAAAGAAUUAUACA